GCAACAAACCUACACAGGGUAACUGGAGACACCAGAGCUGCCAGGAAAGGCAGAAGGGAUGCCCUGACCCUACACCCUCCUGCCUUCCUCUUUGGUGAGGAUGGGAGCACUGGGCACAGCCAGACACUCAGAGUUGGGCAUCUCUGGACUUGGGCAUCACUUGUGAAUCCCAAACUCAGAAAGAAACUUUGAAUAACUGCAGAACACUAGAGAUGAAAGUAAAAUAUGUAUCCCUGAAUAUGCUUUUAAAAUACUUAUUCUUGUUGCACAGCUUCAAAGAAGAAAGCAGUGAAACUUGACCGUAAUCUCUACUGAGCCACAUAACCUCCAACAUGCAAGAACCAGGGUCACGCCAUGACUGUCUGCUGUUCAUAGAAAGUCCCUCACAGCCCAGCCCAGCCCUACUGCAUGCUGCUGCUUCAGAGCAGAACGUGUAUCACUUUUCUGCCUGCCAAAGCCUUUUUUUCUGACAGAGUACUUUGUGAACAUGCUAUGAUGUACACCUCUGUCCUAGAAACAGGACUGGAAGAUUUUCACCUAUACAAUUCCUUUUUUUUUUUUCUUGUGGCAAGCUGCCUGCCAAUUUUGGAUGGGAAAUUCAUUUGGCUGAAGACCAAAUGAUCUAACCUUUUCAGACACUAAUCAUCAGAGCUGUCUAUAAGGAUCUCAAGAAAUCUAGCCUGAAGAGAUUUGAUCCUACAGGCAGUAAAUACAAAAAAAUAGUGCCUAAGCAAGGCAGAUAGGACCUCCAGAUGGAGAUCUGACUUCCACAGAGCUUCACCUUUGUAAAUCUCUAUGCUAACUACCUCUACUCCAAGAGAAUUAUCAGUUUAUAGGACAGGGAUUUGUAUGACUGUGAUAUCAAAAAGAUGUUGCAGAAGCAUGCUAAAAGUCAAUUACAGGACAGCAUUUUUUCCAGCAUACCACUGCACCUCUUGAUUCCAGUACAAAUAAAAAAAAAAAAAUAAUAAUAAAAAAGGAACUGUAAUACACACUUACAAAAAAGUGAUACAAACAACUCAGCUAUGUUGCUUCAGAAGGACACUUCGGAGACACAAAUAACAACCUUCUAAAUUAAAGUCACUGUAACAUAUUCCAUCACUUUUAAAACUUUUUUUCUUUUUUUCUGGUAAGAAUGGAGUGACAGAUGAAAACUGCAAAAUCACUUCUCUUCCUCUCGUUUUACUUUCUCUGUAUUGGUCAGGCGGCAAAUCUUUUAAAUGAGGAAAUGCCAGAAUCAGAGCAGUUAAUUCUGAAAGGGAUGCUGCACACUCACCAAGCCCCUUGACCCACAGCAGGAUCCCAAUGCAACCAGUUUAGACGUUCCUAAAUGCUCUGUUAGAUGAGCAUCUUAACGAGUCCCAGCAGCUUUGGGCUGAUCUAGUACAGUCCCAAGAAGCAGAGCUGAUAGUGGCCAUAUGGCUAGCUCUUCUGAAGAAAGGAAUCUUACACUGCUGGUAAACCCCACUCUUUCAGCAAACUCCUGAAAAGCUCCUAAGUUUUAUGUGGAAACCCCCAGAAAAUUCUCCAAGGAAAGCCGGGAAGACUCAGCAUUCCAGUAUUUCCAAAUGGAGAAAAGCCCCUCUUUAUGGUCCUAAAAAUCCCCUUUUCCUCUGCUUUGUGCAAGUGACCCUCCCGCUCCCCAGGGCUGCGGGAUCCCCCCGCAAACCUCCCGCGUUAUAGGGUGACAGCCGUGCCCCUGCUCGCCCGCCCGACACCCGCAGCGACCCUCGACGGCAGCGGCCCGGCGGGGGCUUUCUGCCCGCCCGCCCCCGGCCCUCGCAAGGGGCGCGGGGCUCGGCUGCAGCCUCCGGCGCUGCGCGGCACCUGCUCGGGGCGCGCCCCCGCGGGGCUGACCGCGGGUACCCGCGGAGCUCCGCGCGACUCCCCCAGCACCACCACCCCCUUUUUUCACCCCCCUCCACCCCCCUCACUCUUCUCCGGCCGCUUUCCCGGCAGCGGCCGGGCUGGGGACGGGGCUCUUUUACUUUCAUUCUAAGGACAAAAUCGGACAGGAAAAAAAAAAAAAAAAAAAGAAAAGCAAAACUGGGAAUUUCCCCGGGGCCGUCACCGCGGGGAUAAAAGGGCACCGGGCGGCACCGCGCAGCCACAGAGGAGGCGAGGAGACGGCAGAGCCGGCGGAGCGCCUAGAUGCUAGAGAGGAUGUGAUGGAGUUCUCAGAUGUGGAGGAGUCGUGGAGUUGCCAAAACUGGAAGGGGUAUAAAGCAUGCUGGAGGACAGGAUAAAUACUGAAAAUGAUCUUGAUGAGUUCAUCAUGAUUUAUAUGGUACAUCUGUGAUCACAGCAGAUCAAAUGGGUGUGAAGGACGGAAAUGUGAUUGCCUGCUCCAGCUCUGCCAAGGAUCACUGACCAGGCUGAUGGUUGUUCAGAAGGCUCCAGAGCAUCAUCUAACCAUACGAUCUAACCAGAACAAAAGGGAAGCAUCCUAAGGGACAUACAGUAUGACUGUGAGAUCAGGCCACUCUCUCAGCCAAGUUUCUGGAUGAGUGCUUUGAAAAAUAACAGUCCUUUUCCUAAAACAAUGGAUAUAAUCCUGAGGAAAAUUGUGCAAUCCAUCAAUCCUGUGGAGAGUUAUGGUUUGAGAAGAAGUUUAGAGAGACGGAACAAACAGAAGAGGAGGACUCUAAAUUGGCAAUAAAUGCUAUUAAAUCCCUGUAGUUCUUGCAGUUUGACAUCUGCUAAGUGUAUUAUUUGUCAUUUAGCCACAUAUGCACUGUCAGAGUGUGCUCAGGGAGCAAUUGCCAUGCCAUGCAAGUUAUGGUAGUUAUUCUGCUCUGAAAUACUAAAAAAAGAAAAAAAGGCAGCUUUCCUGUUCCCUAUACAAGGCUGAACCAGGUGGGGAACUCCAGCCAUUGCCAAAUCAUCACCAACCCCAAAGGAUUUGUUAUGGCAGGUUAUAAAGACCUCCUAAAUGAAACAUUGUAUUUGGAAGCAAAAAGGAGGGGAAAGAAAGGGAGAGCAAUGCACUUGUAGAUGGUUUUCUUCAAAUAUUUUAGAAUAGAUGAAUAUGGUGUUAAUUAAGCUUACAUUUUCAGGUACAGUUUAUAUGAACUAGGAAAAUCCUAGCCUCUUCAUGCAUUCAGGCUUAAAGAGAUAAUAUUGUAAUCCAUAGAGGUCAGGCUUGUUUUUCCUCAAUUCAACUAAAGGAAUAGAAAAUUAUUUUCAUAGCACCAUUCUUGAAUUUGAAGAAAAAAAGAAAAAAAAGCAGGUUACACUUAUAGUCAAAUUUAAUGAACUGCCAAUAAGCAAAGCAUUCAAGCUUUGUUCUACUGAGUAUAUGCAUCAAUCUUACCCUGAAUCAAGGUCAACAAAUUGUGGUGUUCAGAAAUGCUGAGUAUCACUGCAUAUGCUUUUUAAUGAUAAUAAUAGACCUUCAUAAUGACAUAGUAUAUUAUGCGGGCAGUUCUUAACAUUACAAUUUAAUGUUAAUAUUAACAAAACAGAAUAUUUUUAAUUCCUUAGUUUUUGUCUAUUUUUUUGUUGUUGUUGCUGUUGUUGUUUUAUUUUAAACCUGGACACCUGUCUGUUACAUUCGAAGUUAUUGCUUAUUCUUAUCGUCAGAAUUUUGUAGAAGUACAAGAAAAUGUGGCUGAAAAAUGCCCUAAAAAGUUUGGAAAUCUUGCUUACGACAAUGAGUUGGGACUUGUUUAUGAACUAUCUUUUUGAGAACUCACCUUUGCAAAGACCAAGCAACACCCAAGGGAAUUGUUGCAUUUUGAAGCUUUUCUGUGGUUGGUCCCCUUGACAGAAAUGGAAGUUUUUUGAAAAUGUCCUAAUGGUUUUUGUUUGUUUGUUUGUUUUUCUCCUUAUGAAUAUCAGAGUGUAAAAAAGGAGGUUAGUUUUGUAGAGAUAUAUAUUUCAGCCUGUGUAUUCUGAAUGCUUGGCAGAGAAUACAUGAAUAUCAAAGGCUACAGUGAUUUGGCAACUAGAAAAGGAAGGAACAUAUUUUUGCUAAAAGAAAAUGUAAUAAAAUAUGUAAUCCUCACUGCCUUUGUAAUCACCUCCCAUGAUAUACUCUGUUGAUUGGGAAUUAUUAGGCUAAGAAAUAAAAAGCAUAUUCUACUUUU